UGUAUCUUAGUGGUAGAGCAUGUGUCUUCCAUGCAUAAGGUCCUGGGUUCAAUCUCCAGCA
rnacentral:tRNA from 1 species